UACGUAGGGCGCAAGCGUUGUCCGGAAUUAUUGGGCGUAAAGAGCUCGUAGGCGGUCUGUCACGUCUGCUGUGAAAACUCGGGGCUUAACCCCGGGCCUGCAGUGGGUACGGGCAGACUAGAGUGCGGUAGGGGAGACUGGAAUUCCUGGUGUAGCGGUGAAAUGCGCAGAUAUCGCUAGGAAUGCCGGUGGCGAAGGCGGAUGGCUGGGCCACUCCUGACGCUGAGGCGCGAAAGCUAGGGGAGCGAACCGG
rnacentral:rRNA from 1 species